rnacentral:rRNA from 3 species
UGCCCUAGUAACGGCGAGUGAAGCGGCAACAGCUCAAAUUUGAAAUCUGGCUCUCGGGCCCGAGUUGUAAUUUGUAGAGGAUACUUUUGAUGCGGUGCCUUCCGAGUUCCCUGGAACGGGACGCCAUAGAGGGUGAGAGCCCCGUCUGGUUGGAUGCCAAAUCUCUGUAAAGUUCCUUCGACGAGUCGAGUAGUUUGGGAAUGCUGCUCUAAAUGGGAGGUAUAUGUCUUCUAAAGCUAAAUACCGGCCAGAGACCGAUAGCGCACAAGUAGAGUGAUCGAAAGAUGAAAAGCACUUUGAAAAGAGAGUUAAAAAGUACGUGAAAUUGUUGAAAGGGAAGCGUUUAUGACCAGACUUGGGCUUGGUUAAUCAUCUGGGGUUCUCCCCAGUGCACUUUUCCAGUCCAGGCCAGCAUCAGUUUUCCCCGGGGGAUAAAGACUUCGGGAAUGUGGCUCUCUUCGGGGAGUGUUAUAGCCCGUUGUGUAAUACCCUGGGGGGGACUGAGGUUCGCGCAUCUGCAAGGAUGCUGGCGUAAUGGUCAUCAACGACCCGUCUUGAAACACGGACCAAGGAGUCGUCUUCGUAUGCGAGUGUUCGGGUGUCAAACCCCUACGCGUAAUGAAAGUGAACGCAGGUGAGAGCUUCGGCGCAUCAUCGACCGAUCCUGAUGUUCUCGGAUGGAUUUGAGUAAGAGCAUACGGGGCCGGACCCGAAAGAAGGUGAACUAUGCCUGUAUAGGGUGAAGCCAGAGGAAACUCUGGUGGAGGCUCGCAGCGGUUCUGACGUGCAAAUCGAUCGUCAAAUAUGGGCAUG